UCGCGGCCGCUGCCUCCUGCUGGCGCUGCUCCUCCUUCUUCUCCUCCUCCUUCUCCGCCACCGCCUCCCCCCAGCCCAGAGCAAGCGCCCCGCUCUCUCUCCUCCGCGCCCCACUCCCCAUGCCCAGUUCGUGGGGCGGGGCCUCGGCCGGAGAGGGGCCAAUGGGGGUCAGCGCGGCGGAACCGAGUGGCAGAGAGGAGAACCAAUCGAAGUAGGGCAUUAGAAUGAUGGACAGGUGGAGGAAGCAAUCACGGGAAAGCAGUCGGACAGAGCCUAGCGGGACCAGCCCUCUGGCGUCCCAAACGAGGGGCUCCUCUUGUCUCUGCGGUUACUGUAGAAGCUGUUUCCCCUCCCCCGUGCCAGGUGUGGGCACCCGGCUGGAUAAAUGUCUGCCGCGUGGAAUACGUUUAGACUCUGCUUCAGGGGCCAAGUCCCACACUCUGCAACCCCGCGAGUCCCGCCCUCUCGGUAGCCGGGGCGGUGCAAGAUAACAAUCCCCGCACCUGCAGAAUGCAGGCACCUUCCGCUCCGGACCAGGCGGCUGCCCCCACCUGAGCUGUACCCCAGAUGACACCCUGAUGUUCUGUGAUACUGAUCUGUCUCCAGCCAAUGCAACUUUCACCAUUGCUUUGGGAUCUGGCAGGAAGAAGCACUGCCUCCUCUUUACCAAGACAUCACAAACCCUGGCUCUUCCCAUCAAAGUCUCCUCAUUGCACAGUUAAGACCAGGGUUAUAUAACAAUAUUAGAAAGGAAGAGUAAUCCAGAGUAAACUGCAGGUAUGACAUGGCUACUCUCAAAGCCCUUAUGGACUAGAGGCCUGCCUUAUUGUUGAGCUUGAAGCCAGGGUCCAUGUGGCUGAUGACAGAUUACCUCUUCAUCCAGAAUUCCCCUGACCAUGUCUUGGGCAUUCAGGCUCAACUGCUCAGAGAAGAAAACUCUCCUCACCAGUUUAAAGUCCAUUUACAAAGUCCCACUUUCUGUCCUAGUUGCUGCCUUUCUAUAGGAUGGCUGACCAUGAGAACAUCUACUCCUUUAGAGGAAACCCCACCUUCCAUCCUGAGGAUUGUGACCUUAACCUUUGACCCAACUGGACCAGCACCUUCAGAACAGUCCAAACUCAGCACAUGUCUCAUAAAGACUGAGUUAAUCUUUAUAAGUAGGCCCAGGUAAAGCCUCACCAAAGCCAGUCUAGUCCCUUUGCAUAAUUAUUUCUCCAGUAAGCAAUAAGGAUCAUGCCUGUCCUUGUUUGACUAUAUCUUUUAGAGCUCAGCUUUUCUUCUUUUAAGGGCAAGGGCUGAAACAAGGACAUUCACAUCUCCACAGAAACAACACAUAUGUGGUCUACAUCCACAGAGAGAAAAGAAACCGUUUUUCUCUUCUGUAUCAAUGUCUGCGGAAGCAAUGCUCCUGCUCCACACACAAAGAUUUGCAUAUCCAAAUGGAGCACCAUGCUUCACAAACGAAAGCAUCUACACUCAAGUUAUAGUUUUUCAAGAGUAAUAAAUGUAUACUUGCUUUAA